rnacentral:rRNA from 1 species
UUUAGCUGGCGAGCGGCGGACGGGUGAGUAAUGCCUGGGGAUCUGCCCAGUCGAGGGGGAUAACAGUUGGAAACGACUGCUAAUACCGCAUACGCCCUACGGGGGAAAGGAGGGGACCUUCGGGCCUUUCGCGAUUGGAUGAACCCAGGUGGGAUUAGCUAGUUGGUGGGGUAAUGGCUCACCAAGGCGACGAUCCCUAGCUGGUCUGAGAGGAUGAUCAGCCACACUGGAACUGAGACACGGUCCAGACUCCUACGGGAGGCAGCAGUGGGGAAUAUUGCACAAUGGGGGAAACCCUGAUGCAGCCAUGCCGCGUGUGUGAAGAAGGCCUUCGGGUUGUAAAGCACUUUCAGCUGAAGGGAGGAAAGGUGUGAGACGUCCUUAAUACGUGCUCAUCUGUGACGUACUCACA